GGUCAAAGUACAAAGGGCGCAUGGCGGAUGCCUUGGCGUCAAGAGCCGAUGAAGGGCG
rnacentral:rRNA from 1 species